rnacentral:rRNA from 1 species
GACAAACGCUGGCGGCGUGCCUAACACAUGCAAGUCGAGCGAGGGACUUCGGUCCCUAGCGGCGGACGGGUGAGUAACACGUGGGUAACCUGCCUCAUAGUGGGGGAUAGCCUUCCGAAAGGAAGAUUAAUACCGCAUAUACUCUCGAUACCGCAUGGUAUGUAGAGGAAAGGAGCAAUCCGCUAUGAGAUGGACCCGCGGCGCAUUAGCUAGUUGGUGAGGUAAUGGCUCACCAAGGCGACGAUGCGUAGCCGACCUGAGAGGGUGAUCGGCCACAUUGGAACUGAGACACGGUCCAGACUCCUACGGGAGGCAGCAGUGGGGAAUAUUGCACAAUGGGCGAAAGCCUGAUGCAGCAACGCCGCGUGAGUGAUGAAGGCCUUCGGGUUGUAAAGCUCUGUCUUUUGGGACGAUAAUGACGGUACCAAAGGAGGAAGCCACGGCUAACUACGUGCCAGCCGCCGCCGUAAUAC